CAGAAAAUAGUUUAAUUUAGAACGGUAGUUUUGGGGGCUACUGGAGCAGGUGUAAAGUCCUGCUUUUCUGA
rnacentral:tRNA from 1 species